rnacentral:misc_RNA from 1 species
UCCACUUGUGUUCCCAGAAGACUAUUUAUGACAGGAUGAGCGAGCAGUUCUCCGAAGUUGUAGAUGUUAUCUCCCAAAAGCGCAGAAAGAGAGAGGUCAAAUGCCAAAUCCAGUUUAAAUGGUUCUGAGAGUGAUUCCACAGAUGUGUAUGCCAGAUAAAGAAGAGCACUUUUGUAGAACUCAGCAAAUUCUUGACGAUAUUUAUGGUACUGAGAUGAAACCCAAUAAUAAUUGGCAUACACAGAUGGAUCAAUAUCAGUCAUGCUGUCUAAUGUACUCUUUCCUUCUUCUAGAAGCUGCUUGCACUCUUUUUGAUCCCCUUGUUCAAUCUUGAAGAUAGCUAAUUGCAUCUUAAUGUAAAGAAUUGGCUCCUCAAUGUGUUGUUCUCUAGUUGCUCGAAGCUUUUCAAUCACCCCUUCAAGAUAGCUAAUGGCAGCAUUUUUCUCUUUAUACUGCUUAGAAACUAUAACCGCGAAAUGUGCAAGCUUGAGUAGAUUAAUUUUGGUCUCAAAAUCAGAGAUAAAAUUAUGAUACAGUUGUAUCAAUGUAUCACCAGCCUGAACGACAGCGAAAGCAACGAACUGCUCAAGCUUGAGAGUGAGUUGGUGCCACAGCUUCUUCUGGUACAGAUCUGCGAGUGAAUUGUACCACUCGGCGUGUUCGGGAUGCGCGUUGCUAAGAGACUCCAGAUAGAUACUGUAGAGCAGCCAUGGCGGAUAUUUUCACGUUGUUUGGUUGCUUGAAAUUUCAAUUUAUAUUUGAGAAAUCUGAAAAACCAAAACCCCUCUCGCUGCC